GCGAACGUGGCGGAAUUGGUAUACGCGCUAGACUAAGGAUCUAGUGGUGAAUAACCGUGGGGGUUCGAGUCCCCCCGUUCGCACCA
rnacentral:tRNA from 1 species